UUCCAAUCAUGGCAGAAAGCAAAGCCAGGUCGCCAUGGGUUGGGCAGAUCCUGAAGAGCACCAACUUGAGUCUGACAGUCCUUCCAGAACACGGCACCCACCUCCACCAUGUAACACAGCCAAGUGAAACACUAAGGAGGCUCUGUAAGGCAUGACUCUGAAGAAGGCCACUAUCUUUUACUGCCAUGACACCAUUUCUCAGAACACAUCACAUGGCCCCUGAGUGGUCAGGAGUCCAGAGAAAAACAGUCAAGCCCUCCUUUAAUAGUAAAAUUUUUGUCUGACCCUCUCAAGUAGCUAUUUAGAUCUCUUGCAAAUUGAACCAGAAGGUCUUUGGUUCAAGUUCCUGACUUAGCAAUUUUGUAUGUGUUAUCUCACAUGCCAUGAUCAGGUUCUUUGUGGAAGUUCUCUCUUUAAUUCUUCUUGAAAUAGGUUUGUUUUGUUUUGUUUUUUUAAUGCCUAUUUGAAAUCUGAGGAAACAAAAGCUCAGAAAGUGACUGGGUCCUUGACUUCCCAGCUCUUUACUACAGUCACUGGGGAACACAGUGACCCCAUCCCUAAUCGCUUCUUUAAGCGGUGCAAGUGACCCAGGAAUUCCCCGGCCAUUGCACAAUGAACUUUCCAUACCUUUAUUGGGAAUUCAGUUGUGGGGAGGAAAUCAAGGCUUUCAAAAACAUUAUCAGGAGACAAAAAUGAAGCCCCAUCUGCAUUGGAAUUUUCCAGUUUCUCAGUGUCAGGCAUUGAAUUGUCAUGGUUUGGCUCCCACUCGUUUUCUGCUUCAACGCUCAACAAGAAGACAUGGAAGUGCAGCACCACCUAGAAUUCACUUGGUA
rnacentral:lncRNA from 1 species